rnacentral:misc_RNA from 1 species
UGCAGGUAAGCAGCCAGAUCUUGAGAAGCAUGUAGGUGUUGGUGGAUAUGGGUAUCCUGCUAUGGUAGCCUGGAAUGUGAAGAAAGGAGCAUAUGCUCCACUUAAAAGUGCAUUUGAGCUUGAACAUAUUAUNNNNNCAAGGAAGCCGGUCGUGGUGGAAAGGGAAAUCUGGCUUUGGAGGGUACACCAAAAUUAGUUAAGAUUGAACCAUGGGAUGGCAAAGAUGGAGCGAUCACUGAAGAGGAUGAGUUCUCUCUGGAAGAACUAAUGGGAGAAGAUGUUGGAAAUAAAGAUGAGAUAUGACACAAGGAGCAUUAGUUGAGGAAGAGAAUGAAACCCAGGC